CGAGUAAGACGGAUAAUCGCGCACUGUUUCAGUGUGAGGAAAGUCCGGGCUCCGCAGGGCAUGGCGCCGGGUAAUCCCCGGUGAGGGCGACCUUAAGGAAAGUGCAACAGAAAUAAACCGCCAAAAUCUUGCAGAUUUGGGUAAGGAUGGAAAGGUGGGGUAAGAGCCCACCGCGCGGGCGGCGACGGCCGCGGCACAUGUAAACCCCGCCUGGAGCAAGGGAGGAGACGCAAAAGGUGACCCGCCUGUCUCCGAAGCACCGCUAGAGCCGCCGCGGCGACGGGCGGCCCAGAUAGAUGAUUAUCAAAACAGAACCCGGCUUACGGUCUUGCUCGUGAA
rnacentral:RNase_P_RNA from 1 species